CACCACCGCACCUCACAGGCAACCUCUGGAGUGCACGCGUACAUAUAACCUAACCAUCUCGUUUCUUCCUCCCCACCCCCACCCCGCCAUACCGCCCCACCGACACACGCCUACACGGGCCUGAUGCUGAAGACCGGCAAGGAUCUCUCCCAGGGCCAGGCCUUCCACCGGCAGCUGCUCAGCGAGUACAACACGGAGAUCACGUUGGAUAAUUACGUCUCCUACUUUGAGCUGAAGCCGAUUGCAAAGAAGAUCGAGCACAUCCGGCAAGCGUUGGAGUCCACGUACCGUGACCGGUAUGCGCACCGCAGCGUCGUUGAGCCAUCGCUGACGUCGACGCUGACGAUUACGGAACCGCUGCAGGUGGAGCCCGUGCAGCCCUGUCUGUGCGAGACGUCCGCCGCCGUCACGCCGACGGGCCGGCGCGAUGACAAGGAGUUUCCCGCCUCGCCCGUCUUCGACACACCGAGAGGGCGGCAGCAGCACAUCACCACUACCAUGUUCACCGACCCGCUCUCGCCACUCUUCUUCGAGACACCCGGCUUCAGGGCGCUAAAGGAGACGGACAAGGAGCUGGCGGCGCUUAUCCAGCGCCGCAUCCAGCUGCAGGAGAGGUUCUUCGAGAAGCUGCAUGAGUCGUACAUGCGCGUCAAGCGCUACCUCAUCAAGCUCGAGCGCGACUUUGUGAACGCUGUCGCGGAGCUACGCACUUUCAACGAGGACCACAUCCGCAACGAGCUCCCGCGCAACUACAUCCCGUCGCUCUACCUGAAGCUUGAAGUCAUAGUCAAGUACCGCGCCCUCAACCUGAAAGCGUUCCGAAAGAUUCUGAAGAAGUUCCAGGAGCGGUGCGCCUGCGACAGCCUCGAGCUGCUGCAGCGCGUCGUGAACAUUGACCGGCUCAUCUACGCGAGCAACAUCUCACAGCCUUCCAUCGACUUUCGCAGCGCGGCGCUCGAUCUGAUUGUAGUGUACGGCACCGUCUUCAGACUCACGUACGAGCAGGCCGUCCGACACAUGAAGCAGUACGAGAACCGCACCGGCGUCAACGCGCAGCGUAUCCUCCCUAACAGCCAGACCUUCUUCGUCGCCGACGCCUUUCCCCACCACGAGCGCCCAGGUACGUUUGCGGUGCGAGUGCUGUCCGGCACGUGCAGCCUUUUCUGCGAGAAGAUGAUCACGGAGGUGCUGCAGUGCCCGCGCUAUCCCGGCAACAGCUGCGGCCGUUUUGCGAACGGCGAGGUCAGCGUGAACCUGCAGGCCCCUGUCCGUGGCGACGACGUGUUCGUCGUGCAGUCCAUGGUCGCUCUCGAGUCGGAAAACCUCAGCAACGCGGGGGCGCUGAUGGAGCUGGCGCUGCUAGUCCACUCGGCGCAGCUCGCGGCGGCGGCGCGCAUUACGGCGGUUAUUCCGUAUCUUGCAUACACGAGCAACGUCGCCUCCAUCUCGGCCGUGGCGGAGAUGAUUGAGUUGGUCGGCUGCCACCACGUCAUCACGGUGGACAUGCACAGCGACCAGGUGGAAGGCAUGUUCUCCAUCCCGAUAGAGAGCGCCUCUGCCAUGUACGAAUUUGUGCGUUACGUCUCGAAUCUAUUGGAAAGCGAGGGGAACACCUUCGAGAACAUUACGGUCGUCGCCCCAAGCGGCGAGUUUCUCGGUCGUGCGAAGGAGUACGCGGAUGCGCUCAUGCGCUACAACAACCUCGACAGCGCCACGCAGUUCGUGUCGGUGUGCACGGCGGUGCGGCGGGUAGAGACGCAGCCGUUGGCGUGCACCACUCGGACCAACCGCCACGACUACGAGAUUCCGCGCGUGAUAGCAGAAAGCCACCGCUGCACCGGCCUUUCCUCGUCUGGGGAGGUGGCGCACGAGUGCAAGCUGCAGCAGCAGCAGCACGGGCCAGUGACGCGGAGCACGGAGUGGGGUACGCCGAACAGCAGCACCGCUGCAAGCGUGGCGACAAGCCACAUCAACGUUAACACCCCCAUCGAUGCCCAGGGGAAACAGUACCUGCAUAGCCCUGCUACGCCGCCCGCGGCGGAUGCGGUGACGUCGGAGCUAGUCGCCAUCGUUGGCAGCGAAUCACAGGCCGUGAGUUUCAGCACGCACAGCUACUACGCCAGCACGAACGCCACCGCACACGGCGGCACCCACAACCUUCUGCUGCAGCGCCACGGCGAGCCGGACAUGCAACGCAGCAGCAGCACUCUUGGUAUCGAGAAGGCCCUUCGGCAACAGGAAGAGGGCCCUCAGGCACUCAUCAUGCGUAAGGAGACAGCGAGCAAUGAGUACAAGAACUACGUCCUUGUCGGCGAUGUCAAGGACCGCCUGUGCAUCAUCAUUGAAACUGUGAUCGACGAGGCUAUUAACAUGGCACACGUGGCGCGCUGCCUUCAAGAGCAGGGCGCAGAGCGCAUCAUCCUCGUCGCGACGCACGCGGUCAUGUCCGGCAAUGCAAUCAAUCUACUGGUCGAGUCGCCCAUUGAGCUGGUCGUGGUUACAGAUAGCGUAAAUCAGGACGAGCUCAUGAAGAACCCGGCGCUGGCGCGCAAGCUGCGCGUCGUGCCGAUCGCGCCGUUGCUCGCGCGCGCGAUCGAGAAGAUUCACACCGAGAACACGCUCGCGACACUUUUCGACAAGUCCUAGCACACGCAUACGCAUACGCACACGCACGGACGUGCGUGUGCGGUGCGACAACCGUGCCGGCGUCCGCCGUGAUGCGGAGAGAAGAAAAAAAAAAUAGGACCAAGCAAACGGUGAAGACGACAUAAAGAAGAAAAGUUGUGAGGGGGAGGGAACUGCUCCGACGCACUCGCCCGUGUGUGCGUGUGUGUGUGUGUGUGUGUGUGUGUGUGUGUGGCGGUGGCGGUGGCGGUAGUAGUGGUGGUGGGGCGAAGUGAUGCAUUGAUGGUGGAAGCAGUGGCAUGUGUGUGUAUACAUAUAUGUCUCUCUGUGUGGGUAAGAGCACGGUUAGGUGAUGAAGAAGAGAUAACGCAACGGAAGGCGGAUCAUGUCGAUUGAGCAUCCGUCGUGUGUCCUCGGCCCCAGCACCCACGCAACGAUCGUCUUCCCCUUGCUCUGAUGAGGAUGAGGAGAGUGAUGAGAAGGACGUGUUAUAAGUUGCCUUCGCGGACGUCCGGGCCUCCUGUGUUGUUGUUUGAUAUUUUGUUUUGUGUGGUGAGGAGCGCUGGAUUGCACGCGCCGACACCGCUUUUUCUGCCUCCUCCCCGCCCCCACCCCUCUUGUUGUUUUUUUUUGUGUGUUUCUGUGUGUGUGUGUACGUGUGAUCAGCACAUCUGGCGCCGAAGCACCGAUACGUGCGCGCGGACGUUCUGCUACAGUUCGUGCCUACAUCGAAGCACACACACGCACACACGGGCACGGGUACAGAGACCCUAACGCACGCACCACCGUUGUGUUCUUAGCUCCGUCCAUCCUCUCCCCCCCCCCUCAUUGCUUGAUGGUUCUGUGUUGGGGGCACCUUGUCGUAUUCGAUUCCCGUAACAACUUCAACGCCGGUGCGCCGGAAAGCGGCCGCCAACAAAGACCAAAAAAAAAGGAAAAAGGGAGAGGGAGGGCGAAUGAGCGGAAGCGCCCUUCAAGAUGGAGUAGAACUGCUCAAGAAGCGCAGCAGCAGCACCAAAAACCACCGCCAUUCCGCUCCCUCGCCCCCUCCCCUGCCCUGGCGUGUCCCCGCGCACAGACAUGCACAGUCGAAUACGAGAACGCCACUCGAGGGAGCAGGACGCGCGACAAGAAACGAAAACAAAGAAACCUGUAUGCCCAACGUGAGUCCAUAGAACCGAGAGGGGGGGGGGGGGCAAGGGAAGCGACGGGCAGGAAUGGUGAUGACAAGCGCGGCGAUCAUUUGUGAUGGGGCCUCCCUCCUUAUCAGCUGACUGUCUCAUCUCUGCUCGACACCACGUGCUACGGUAGGUCCGCAGGCCGUCUAGUUGACGAGGGGAAGGGCUUGGAGGAGGGAGGGGGCAAGGUGAAGCUGAGCGAGGUGCGGCCCUCCUCUCUCUCUCUUCGGCUCUGUCUAUACGGUGGCGUCGUGAGGUGACUUGUCCAUCACGGCAUGUCCGUUCGGCAACCCUCCCACCCACCGAGCCACACCCAGCCAGCUCAGCCCUCCAACUUGCCUCUCCCUCUGUCCCGCACGCACUGCUGUCUCUUCUCUCGUGUCCCGCUUUCGCUCCGCACUUGCGUGGUCGCUUCGUUGGGCCACACACGCCCUCUUCCAG
rnacentral:misc_RNA from 1 species